AGCUACACUGGAAAGCCACAGAGGAAAUCUGAGGUAGCAGCAACAUAGAGGAAGAGAUAAGUUUAAGGGCUGUCCAGACUGCUAUCCAUGCAGGGUGCCAACAGAUAGUGCCAGAUGAAAAACAGUUUCCAAGUCAGAGAAUAACUGUGAUCUGGUCUAAAAGCAACUCCAUCAUCCUCUGGUACAAAACAGCAACUGGCUUCCUGUGUGAUCAGCAAUGUGUUAUCUAGUUUGGGGGAGGGGACUUUCUCAUUCAUGAUGAGUCACUGGUUUGUUCGUGUGCUGAGGAGGUUCAGCCUUGGGGAUGUCUGAAGGGCUGGCUGGAGCUUCCUGUCCACUACCUGUUUGGAAUAUCUAUUGUUCUAAUAAAAGUGAUUUUAGCUUUUA